UGCUUCUGGCAAUAUGUCUAGUAAUGCUACAGCCAUGGCCAAAGAAGUGAUUGUCUGUGUUCUCUUCUAGGAUUUUGAUGGUUUUCUAUCUCACAUUCAGGGAGCAGGAAGAGACAGAGAGAGAGAGAGAAUCUCAAGCAUGCUCCCUGCCGAGUGCAGAGCCUUAUGCAAGGCUCAUCUCAAGAUCCUGCCUGAGAUGAUGACCAGAGCUGAAAUCAAGAGUCAGAUGUGAAACUGACCCAGGUCAAAAGUAGCCAAAUGCUAUGGUGCAAUGUCUAGGUCAUUAACUCCACUUCAUUUCACCAUGAAGGCAUUUUAUCAUCUCCCAUCACCACAAGAAGGGUCUUUAUAGUGUGAUCACAAUGGGAGACAAUGAGACCUUUCAGGUUGAAUCCAGCACGGGAAGAAAACCACACACCUACUACCAUGUUUGACUCUAAAGAUGUAAUAUUAGGUUUCAAUAGGGCCUAAUGGGGAUCCCUGGGUGGCGCAGCGGUUUGGCGCCUGCCUUUGGCCCAGGGCGCGAUCCUGGAGACCCGGGAUCGAAUCCCACAUCGGGCUCCCGGUGCAUGGAGCCUGCU